rnacentral:rRNA from 1 species
GAUGAACGCUGGCGGCGUGCCUAAUACAUGCAAGUCGAGCGAACAGACGAGGAGCUUGCUCCUCUGACGUUAGCGGCGGACGGGUGAGUAACACGUGGAUAACCUACCUAUAAGACUGGGAUAACUUCGGGAAACCGGAGCUAAUACCGGAUAAUAUAUUGAACCGCAUGGUUCAAUAGUGAAAGACGGGUUUGCUGUCACUUAUAGAUGGAUCCGCGCCGCAUUAGCUAGUUGGUAAGGUAACGGCUUACCAAGGCAACGAUGCGUAGCCGACCUGAGAGGGUGAUCGGCCACACUGGAACUGAGACACGGUCCAGACUCCUACGGGAGGCAGCAGUAGGGACUCUUCCGCAAUGGGCGAAAGCCUGACGGAGCAACGCCGCGUGAGUGAUGAAGGUCUUCGGAUCGUAAAACUCUGUUAUUAGGGAAGAACAAAUGUGUAAGUAACUAUGCACGUCUUGACGGUACCUAAUCAGAAAGCCACGGCUAACUACGUG